UCCAGACAAAAUGUGUUUUAUUGACAUGCUAUACAGAUGGAACAUUUGGGAAACGACUUGACAGAAGCUUUGACAAGCAGUUACUAUGAAGCCAGACAGGAGCACAGAGUCAGAAGAACCCUAGAACCACUAGAGUUCUCUUACAGAACCCACCCUAUGGUUCAGAACCAUUAGCGUUCUAUUAUAGAACCCACCCUAUGAUUCAGAACCAUUAGAGUUCUAUUAUAGAACCCACCCUAUGGUUCAGAACCAUUAGAGUUCUAUUAUAGAACCCAUUCUGUUUUCAGCCCUCUCCGUCUCAGUGAAGGACCGUUUAUUUGUGGUCAGUCUUAGUAAAAUAUAUACAUAAUAUAUAAUAUAUGUAUUAAUAUGUUCUUCAUGUAGUUACCCCCUUCAAACCUUCAUUUGAAAGAAAUGUAGACCGCAUCCCAAAUGUGCACUAUGGCCAGGGUGCCAUUUGAGAAGCGAUGGUAGUAAUGCCUACGUGCUUUUAAAAGAUCAUAGAACAGAAAGGUCAAUCAAGUCCCAACCGUGUCAUGACUGCCCCACCCGUUGCCCAGAUAGGACAGCAAGCCGGCCAUGGAACAUCAAGUCACAGACGACCUAAGAUCAUUCCAUAUCUACGUUUUAUGGUUCUGUGACAAUUCAGAGGGUUCUAACAGAACAUGGAACCAUUAGUGCUAAGCUAUCAGUUCAGAGGGUUCUAACAGAACAUGGAACCAUUGGUGCUAAGCUAGGAGAACCGAGCGCUGAAGAGUAGUAGAAUAUGGGAAUUCGUUUACUAUGUGCAGACUGUGUUUACGAUCUUAGGGAAUUUUUUACUAUGUGCAGACUGUGUUUACGGUCUUUGGAAUUUGUUUACUAUGUGCAGACUUCACGGUCUUUGAGAUCAGCUACAUUUGCAGUCAGACUUCACAGCAUUACUGAUUUAUACAUCUCCUUACAUAUCAAAUAACUACGUAUUCAAGUUAUAUUCAACUAUUAUUUGAUCAAGAUGAUUGAUUCUGUGCCUCGCCUUGCUUUAACUAAUCCCCUGAAACACUAUUGACAUGUUGGGAAUGCAUGUCAUUACUUUACUGUGUGUUUCCCAUAGAAUUCAAUGGAACAUCUUUGAAUGUAUCUCUCUAUGGUGUAGACUCUCUGACAGUCUCUGAAAGGCCCUCUCUCUCUCUGUGAAAUGAUAAGGCAAAAGAAAGUCAUAAAUAGCAGCAGCAUCAACUUCAUUUAAUAAACCCUUGAUAGUGAUCAUAAGACGAUUAAAAUCUAUCGGAUAAGGUUCUUUUAGAAUUCAUAGAAAUGCCAGGGGUCAACGAUUGAACAGUAUUGAAUAUUGAACUAUCUGUUGGCUGUGUGGCCGAAACAACAACCACCCCCCCUUCCUUCACUACAGAGUCAUCUAGAGGAGGAGAUGUCUGUUACAGGGGGUAACCCCCCCUUCCUUCACUACAGAGUCAUCUAGAGGAGGAGGAGAUGUCUGUUACAGGGGGGAACCCCCCUUCCAUCACUACAGAGUCAUCUAGAGGAGGAGGAGAUGUCUGUUACAGGGGGGAACCCCCCUUCCUUCACUACAGAGUCAUCUAGAGGAGGAGAUGUCUGUUACAGGGGGGAACCCCCUUUCCUUCACUACAGAGUCAUCUAGAGGAGGAGAUGUCUGUUACAGGGGGGAACCCCCCCUUCCUUCACUACAGAGUCAUCUAGAGGAGGAGGAGAUGUCUGUUACAGGGGGAACCCCCUUCCAUCACUACAGAGUCAUCUAGAGGAGGAGGAGAUGUCUGUUACAGGGGGGACCACCCCUUCCUUCACUACAGAGUCAUCUAGAGGAGGAGGAGAUGUCUG
ensembl:lncRNA